UAAAAUUUGCUAUUUUUGGAAAGGUCCCACUUUUUUUGAAGAAAAAAUGUAGAAUUUAGAUUGUGAUUUAGAAACUAGGAUAACAAGAAUAUUUGUUGAUAGAUGAGUAUUCUGUUAAAAUGUUUGAUCAAUAGGUUGUAUUUUGCAAAUAAACAUUUAACCAAUUUUAUUUUUGGAAAGUUAAUAUUUUUUUAGAGAAAAUAAUGUAGUUUUGGGAUUGUGAUUAAGAAAUUAGGAUAACAAGAAUAUUUGUUGAUAGAUAAGUAUUCUUUAAGAUUUUUUUAUCAAAAGGUUGUAUUUUAAAUAAAAAUUUAAAAUUUCUAUUUUAGGAAACUUAUCAUUUUUAGAGAAAAUAAUGUAAAUUUGGGAUUUUGAUUUAGAAACUAGGGUUACAAGAAUAUUUGUUGAUAGAUGAGUAUUAUUUUAGAAUAUGUGAUCAAUAUGUUAUAGUUUUUUAAAUAAACUUUUUAAAAUUUGUAAUUUUUGGAAAUUUAUCACUUUUUGGGAUUGUGGUUUAGAAACUAGGAUAACAAGAAUAUUUUUUUUAAUAAAUGAGCAUUCUUUGAAGUUUUUGAUCAGUAUGUUGUAUUUUAUUAAAUAAAUUUCUAAAAGUUUCUAUUUUUGAAAAUUUAUCACUUUUUUCAGAAAAUAAUGUAGAUUUGAUAUUGAGAUUAGAAAUUAGGGUAACAAGAAUAUAUGUUGAUAGAUGACUAUUCUUUUAGAAUUUUUAAUCAAUAAGUUGUAUAUUUUUAAUAAACUUUUAAAAAAUUAUAUUUUUAGAGAGUUAUCACUUUUUUGAGAAAAAAUAUGUAGAAUUUAAAUUGUGAUUUAGAUAUUAGGAUAACAAGAAUAUUUGUUGAUUGAUGAGUAUUAUUUAAAAAAAAAAUUGAUCAAUAGGUUGUAGUUUUUCUAUAAACUUUUAAAAAAAAAUUAUUUUUUGAAAGUUAAUACUUUUUUGAGAAAAUAAUGUAGAUUUGAGAUUGUGAUUAAGAAAUUAGAAUAACAGAAUAUUUGUUGAUCGAUGAGUAUUCUUAUACAGUUUUUGAUCAAUAGAUUAUAUUUUCACUAAUAAACUUUAAAAAAAAAAUUCUAUUUUUGGAAAAUUAUCACUUUUUUUAGAUAACACAAUGUACAUUUGAGAUUACGAUUUAUAAAUUAGGUUAAUAAGAGUAUUUGAUGAAAGAUGAGUAUUUUUUUAAAAAAGAAUUAACAAUAGGUUGUAUUUUUAUUUUAAAAUUUCUAUUUUAGGAAAGUUAUCACUUUUUUUGUAAAAAUAUAUUAGAUUUUUAUUGUGAUUUAGAAAUUAAGAAAAAAAAUUAUUGUUGAUAGAUGAGUAUUGUUUAAGAAUUUUCGAUCAAUAGGUUGUAUUCUUUAAAUAAAGUUUUAAAAUUUUCUAUUUUUGAAAAGUUAUCAUUUUUUAGAGAAAUAUUUAAAAUUUGGUAUUGUGAUUUAGAAAUUAGGAUAACAUGAAAAUUUGUUAAUAAGUGAGCAUUCUUUGGACUUUUUGAUCAGUAUGUUGUGUUUUUUAAAUAAAUUUUUAAAAGUUUCUAUUUUUGGAAAGUUAUCACUUUUUAGAGAAAUAUUUAAUAUUUGAGAUUGUGAUUUAAAAAUUAGGAUAACAAGAACAUUUGUUAAUAAAUGAGUAUGUUGUAUUUUUUGAAUAAACUUUUAAAAGUUUCUAUUUUGAAAAAUUAUUUUUUUUUUUACAGAAAAUAAUGUAGAUUUGAUAUUAAGAUUAGAAACUAGGGUAACAAGACUAUUUCUUAAUUGAUGAGUAUUUUUUAGAAUUUUUAAUCAAUAGAUUGGAUAUUUUUAAUAAACUUUUAAAAUUUUCUAUUUUUGGAGAGUUAUCACCUUUUAUAGAGAAAAAAUAUAGAAUUUAGAUUGUGAUUUAGAACCUAGAAUAACAAGAAUAUUUGUUGAUAGAUGAGUAUUAUUUAAAAAAAAAUUGAUCACUAGGUUGUAGUCUUUCAAUAAACAUUUAAUCAGAAUAUUUCAAAAUUCUAAAUUUUGAUCAAAAAGCACAAUAUUUAAGAAAAAUAUUUAAAAUUACAAUCAAUUGAUGAGUAAUUCUGAAAAAAUACUCAACUGUCCUAAAAUAUUUUUCUUAUCUUAAUUUCUAAAUCACAAACUCAAAUGUACAAUAUUUUUCUAUAAAAUGAAAGCAUACAAAAAUAGUUGUUUUUAAGAAAAUUAUUUAAAAAUAUAACACAUUGAUGAAACAUUCAUAAAGAAUAUUCAUCUAUCCACAAAUAUUCUUGUUAUCCUAAUUACUAAAUCACAAACCCAAAUCUAAAAUAUUUCUCUAAAAAAUUAAAAUUUUCCAAAAAAUAUUAUAUUUUACAAAAAUGAUUAAAAAUACAACCUAUUGAUGAAAAUUUCUGAAAGAAUACUCAUAUAUCCAUAAAAUUCUUGUUAUACUAAUUUCUAAAUCAUAAAACCCAAAUCUACAAUAUUUCCCUAAUAAAUGAAAAUUUUCCAAAAAACUGCUUUUAGGAAAAUUAUUUAAAAUACAACUUGUCGAUGAAAAUUUCUAUAAGAAUACUCCACUAUCUACAAACGUUCUUGUUAUCUUAAUUUUUAAACCACAAACUCAAAUCAACAAUAUUUCUCUAUAAAAAUAUAAACUUUCCAAAAAAUAGCAGUUUUUAAGAAAAUUACUUAAAAAUUCAAUCUAUUGAUAAAAACUCUGAAAGAAUACUCAUAUAUCCACAAAUAUUCUUGUUAUCUUAUUUUUGAGUUAUAAACCCAAAUCUAUAAUAUUUCUCUAAAAAAUAAAAACUUUCCAAAAAUAGUAGUAAUUAAGAAAAUUAUAUAAAAAUACAACAUAUUGAUGAAAUAUUAUGUAAGAAUACUCAACUAUCCACAAAUAUUCUUGUUAUCCUAAUUUCUAAAUUACAAACCUAAAUCAAAAAUAUUUUUCAAAAAAUAAAAACUUUCCUAAAAUAGCAGCUUUUAGGAAAAUUAUUUAAAAUACAACAUAUUGAUGAAAAAUUCUUAAAGAGUAUUCAUCAAUAUGUUGUAUUUUUAAAUAAUUUUCUUAAAAACUAUUAUUUUUAGAAAGUUUACAAUUUUUUUUAGAGAAAUAUUAUAGAUUUGAAUUUGUGGUUUAAAAAUUAGGAUAACAAGAAUAUUUGAGGAUAGUUGAGUAUUCUCUUACAAAUUUUCGUCAAUAAGUUGUAUUUUAUAUAAUUUUCUUAAAAAACCUAUUUUUGGAAAAUUUUCAUUUUUUAGAGAAAUAUUGUAGAUUUUGGUUUGUGAUUUAAAAAUUUGGAUAACAAGAAUAUUUGUGGAUAUAUGAGUAUUAUUUAAGAUUUUUUGAUCAAUGUGUUGUAUUUUAAAAUAAUUUUCUUAAAAACAGCUAUUUUUGGAAAGUUUUCAUUUUAUAGAUAAAUAUUGUAGAUUUGGGUUUGUGAUUUAGAAAUUAGGAUAACUAGACUAUUUGUGGACAGAUGAAUACUCUUUAAGAAUUUUUCAUCAAUAUGUUAUAUUUUCAAAAAAAAAUUUAAAAACGGCCAUUUUUGAAAAGUUUUCAUUUUUCAGAGAAAUAUUAUAGAUUUGGGUUUGUGAUUUAUAAAUUAGGAUAACAAGAAUAUUUGUGGAGAGAUGAGUAUUUUUCGGAGUUUUUCAUCAAUAGGUUGUAUUUUUAAAUAAUUUUCUUAAAAACUGAUAUUUUUGGAAAGUUUUCAUUUUUUUAGAGAAUUAUUGUAGAUUUGAGUUUGUGGUUUAAUAAUUAAGAUAACAAGAAUAUAUGUGGAUAGUUGAGUAUUAUUUAAGAAAUAUUGUAUUGUAGAUUUGGAAAGUUUUCAUUUCUUUGAUAAAUAUUGUAGAUUUGGAUUUGAGAUUUAGAAAUUAGGAUAACUAUACUAUUUGUGGACAGAUGAAUACUCUUUAUGAAUUUUUUAUCAAUAUGUUGUAUUUUUUAAUAAUUUUCUUAAAAACUGCUAUUUUUGGAAAAUUUUUAUUUUAUAGAUAAAUAUUAUAGAUUUAGAUUCGUGAUUUAGAAAUUAUGAUAACUAGACUAUUUGUGGACAAAUGAAUACUCUUCAAAAAUGUUUUAUCAAUAUGUUGUAUUUAUAAAUAAUUUUCAUAAAAACUGCUAUUUCUAGAAAGUUUUCAUUUUAUAGAUAAAUAUUGUAGAUUUGAGUUUGUGAUUUAGAAAUUAUGAUAACUAUACUAUUUGUGGACAGAUGAAUACUCUUUAGGAAUUUUUUAUCAAUAUGUUGUAUUUUUUAAUAAUUUUCUUAAAAACUGCUAUUUUUGGAAAGUUUUCAUUUUAUAGAUAAAUAUUGUAGAUUUGAAGUUUGUGAUUUAGAAAUUAGGAUAACACGAAUAUCUGUGGAUAGUUAUCCUUUAGAAAUUUUCAUCAAUAUGUUGUACUUUUGAAUAAUUUUCUUAAAAACAACUAUUUUUGGAAAGUUUUCAUUUUUUAGAGAAAUAUUGUAGAUUUGAGUUUGUGGUUUAAAAAUUAAGAUAACAAGAAUAACUGUGUAUAGUUGAGUAUUGUUUUAGAAAUUUUCAUCAACAAGUUGUAUUUUAAAUAAGUUUCUUAAAAACUUCUAUUUUUGGAAAGUUUUCAUUUUUAGAGAAGUAUUGUAGAUUUAGGUUUGUGAUUUAAAAAUUAGGAUAACAAGAAUAUUUGUGGAUAGAGGAAUAUUAUUUAAGAAUUUUUCAUCAAUGUGUUGUAUUUUUAAAUAAUUUUCUUAAGAACUGCUAUUUUUGAAAAGUUUCCAUUUUUAGAUAAAUAUUGUAGAAUUGGGGUUUGUGAAUAACAAGAAUAUUUGUGGAUAGAUGAGUAUUUUUUUGGAGUUUUUCAUCAAUAGGUUGUAUUUUUAAAUAAUUUUAUUAAAAGUUGCUAUUUUUUGGAAACUUUACAUUUUUUAGAGAAAUAUUGUAGAUUUGAGUUUGUGGUUUAUAAUUAAGAUAACAAGAAUAUUUGUUGAUAGUUGAGUACUCUUUAAGAAAUUUUCAUCAUUGUGUCGUAUUUUUUAAAAAAAUUCUUAAAAACUACUAUUUUUAAGUUUACAUUUUUUAGAAAAAUAUUGUAGAUUGGAGUUUGUGGUUUAAAAAUUAAUAUAACAAGUAUAUUUGUGAAUAAUUGGGUAUUCUUUUAGAAAAUUUCAUAAACAAGUUGUAUUUUAAAUAAUUUUCUUUAAAGCUGCUAUUUUUAGAAAAAAAUCAUUUACUAAAGAAAUAUUGUUGAUUUGGGUUUUGUGAUUUAGAAAUUAGGAUAACAAGAAUUUUAUGGAUAGAUGAGUAUUACUUCAGAAUUUUUCAACAAUAGGUUAUAUUUUUAACCAUUUUUGUAAAACCUGCUAUUUUUGGAAAGUUUUAAUUUUAUAGAUAAAUAUUGUAGAUCUGGGUUUGUGAUUUAGAAAUUAUGAUAACUAGACUAUUUUUUGACAGAUGAAUAUUCUUUAAGAAUAUAUCAUCAAUAUAUGGUAUUUUUAAAUAAUUUUCAUAAAAACUGGUAUUUUUGGAAAUUUUUCAUUUUUUAGAGAAAUGUUGAAGAUUUGAGUUUGUGAUUUAGAAAUUAGAGUAACAAGAAUAUUUGUGGAUAGAUGAGUAUUGUUUCGGAGUUUUUCAUCAAUUGGUUGUAUUUUUAAAUAAUUUUCUUAAAAACUGCUAUUUGUGGAAAGUUUACAUUUUUUUAGAGAAAUACUGUAGAUUUGAGUUUGUGGUUUAAAAAUUAAGAUAACAAAAAUAUUUGUGGAUAGAUAAGUAUUAUUUAAGAAUUUUUCAUCAAUGUAUUGUAUUUUUAAAUAAUUUUCUUAAAAACUGCUAUUUUUGGAAAGUUUUCAUUUUUUAGAGAAAUAUUGUAGAUUUGGGUUUGCGAUUUAGAAAUUAGGAUAACUAGACUAUUUGUGGACAGAUGAAUACUCUUUAA
rnacentral:lncRNA from 1 species